GAUGAACGCUGGCGGCGUGCCUAACACAUGCAAGUCGAGCGAGGGUUUGCUCAGUAUUGAGUAUUCUAAGACUAGAAUGUUCAAUUCUGAGCAAAACCAAGCGGCGGACGGGUGAGUAACGCGUGGGUAGCCUGCCCUAUACACAUGGAUAACAUACUGAAAAGUUUACUAAUACAUGAUAAUAUAUAUUUGCGGCAUCGCAGAUAUAUCAAAGUGUUAGCGGUAUAGGAUGGACCCGCGUCUGAUUAGCUAGUUGGUGAGAUAACUGCCCACCAAGGCGACGAUCAGUAGCCGACCUGAGAGGGUGAUCGGCCACAUUGGAACUGAGACACGGUCCAAACUCCUACGGGAGGCAGCAGUGGGGAAUAUUGCACAAUGGGCGAAAGCCUGAUGCAGCAACGCCGCGUGAACGAUGAAGG
rnacentral:rRNA from 1 species